CAGAGUGUCGCGCUAGCAGGGCGUCCCCAGCCGGGGGCAGGGAGGCCGGGGACAUCGCAGCUGGGAGAGGCAGGCGUGGCCCAAGCCCGCUGGCCGGGCAGCGCCGGCAGGAGACCCUGCGCCUCCCUUCCCAGCCGGGCUCCGUCGCCAUCAGGUCCUCGAAGGAAAGAGCAGGUCGAACACCCUGCCGUGGAGCCUGGGGUCGGCGCCCGGGUCAGCCCUCGCCCCUCCGGAGCAGGGUGCGCCGGGCUCUCCGGAGUCAGCGCAGGGCAGGCGUCGCAGCCGGGCGCAGGUGCGGGAAAGUGAGGGUCGCGCGGGUCCCCACGGCCCCUGAGUAGCUUGGGGCGCCCCGGUGCGGGACCCCGGGUCCCCUUACCGCAGAGCAGCACCAGCAGCAGCGAGAGAAGUUGAGGGCGCCAAAGCACUACUCGCGUCUCCAUGGCUGGUCGGCUGCGGCGCGGUUCGGCUGGGUCCGGGCUGGGCACGCUGGGGGCGCCCGGAGGCGGGGCCCAGACGGGGUUGGGGCCACGGAGAGCCCGCCCCCAGGACGCGCCCCCACUACGCUCCCUCGCCCAGGACAGGCUCCCCCUGAGGACGCGCCUCUCGCACUCCUCCCCAGGGCGCGCCCUCCCCGGCAGGAUGCUCUCGCUGAGAUGAGCCAUCCCUCCCGCUGCGGGGGUGCGGCCCGCGGCGACCGCGGCUGGGCAGGCGAGGAAAAAUAACACCAUAGAGUGGAAAGAAAAACUACCUGAUGAGAGAAAGUAUUUGUGACACACAGGAUUCAAAUCUAAAGGAACUAUGACUUAUAGCAAUUUGUAAGCAGAAUUGAAGCAUUUACCUUUUUCUCCCUAUCUGAUCCCUCCAGAAUUUGAAAACUCUUGAUGAAUGAUCCAAAAGACCCAGAGAGAAUUCGAAUUAAAGAACCAGACACUCUCAGAUGUUCCUCUGCAUCAUCUCUAUAGUGGAGACUGAAUCCUAUUAAAAUACUGGAAACACAAGCACCCAGAAGAUCAAUUUCAUCUCUGCUGAAUGGGACCAUACAAGCAAUGCCACAGGAAACAGGAAUCAUGCCAUAGAAGAACAUCACAACAGGAUCACCCAAACCUUGGCUGGCUUCAUACUCUAGACACUGACUUCUCCAAAUGGACAAGUGAACCUCUAAUAGAUCUCAAGUUGCUGUACAGAAGACGGUCCCCUAAAACAGGAAGCAGCUGGAGCGGUCUUCAUCCCCAUUCCCCAAGAUUGACGAAUGAUCAAAAGAGAAGGGGGAUUGAAACUGAAGAUGAAGGAGUUAAAAUUUCCCUGGAUUAGGGUGAAACUGUGCCUUGUACCCACAAGGUUAACGUGGGAAACAAAAUAACCAAAGUUUCUGAGCUUGCCUUGCAGAACAGCAGGAGGACCACUGAUAAGAGAGGAACUUGCUGACAGCCCCCUGCCUGACUAAGCAUCUUGGAGGAACAUUGAGAAGCUAAAAUGACUGAUUGCAAACUUUAGAUGUCAAAGACUAAAGACUAAAAAGCCACCACUUGAAACAUGUAGAACAGACAGUCACACCUGUGCAGAGGACACUUAGAACUUCAGCCCAGAAGGCCACAUGCCCCCCUCCCCUACCUAAAACCCCGAACAAAAACCCUUGCUUGUAGCUUUUUGGAAGUUCAAAAUUACAGUGUUAGCUGCCCAUUCCCCUUACUCAGUGCUUUGCAAUAAAAUUCCUACUUUCUUCCACUACACCCAGUGUCAGAGAUUGGCUUGCUGCACAACGAGUGAGUGAAGUCACUUCAGGUUCAAUAUCAAGGAUAUAAGCCCUCUGGCUGCAAAGGAUUCACACAACAAAACCCCAAGUCAAAAUCCCCCCAAGAAAAAGGAGCCGUCAUUCUGCCCAAAGGGGAUCAUGGCCAGUCAAACAACAUCAGUCAUCUCCCCUCAAAGUGCCAUCCCCAGGGCUCUUCCUCACCUAUGCCAAUGUCAUGUCACAUUGAGGGUGCCAUUAGGUCAUUCUCUCAGUUAGUUAGGACUGAGGGGAAAUGGGGCUUCAGUUUGUGCUCCCAACCAGGUACACACCCUGUCCCAGUGCCACACACCACGGAGGGCAAGAGGAUGAGGGCUGGGGAUGCCCACAGAGGUCACCAGAACCUUGGCAGGAUUCAGAGUUGGCCCAGGCCCGCCCUCCCCCUGCUGAGCUUGGAGGGGAGAGCUCCGUGUUCUCUGCUCCUCUCUCAGGGCAUCUUCAUGCCCACUCUGUGCACUUAGCAAGACCGACUUCUUCUUGGAAUCCACUAGCUCCUCCACACUUAGCCCUUGGGGCCCUCCUCCUCCGGGUCUGCUCCUCUGGCCUCUGCACCUUCUGUCUCCAUCCAGCUCUGCCCCCGACUUCACCCACCAAGAUCCAGCUCUUCCUCCACUCCUCCAUGUCUGGCUCAGGGCCCUCCCUGGGUCCAGGCCCUCUGCUCUCACGUCUUGUGGCCCCAACUCCUCACCCCCCAGCUUGGGAACUGGAACAUUGAGUCCCUGGAACAGAACUGUCUUUGCUGAAAUUAGUGAAACUGCCAGGUGGUAUGAGUAGCCUGUCUGCAGAGAGACAGAACCCAAAUGCCAGUCCUCUCUCCUGCCUAGCUGCAGGCUGCCCCCGUCUCUGUGUGACACAUCAUUUCUCUUUUUGCUGCAUAAACUGCUUUUUAAUUUUUUAAAUUAGAGUCACAUAAAAUAAUAUAACAGAGAAGAUGCCUAAAUUUUUUUAAUUAAUUUGUUACGAUCAUUCUACCACUUAGUAAUUGUAAAACCCCUUUCUGAAGUUAAAGUAACGCUUGAUGAUUGCAACAAAGAAGACAGAGUCAGUGUGCCAGGCGAACACUCUCUGCAACGCAGUGAAGAAGGAAGUGCACGUUCUUUUCUGUUCUCCUUUUCAGUCGGUCCCACGCCCAAAGGUAAAUUUUCUUUUUUUUGUAUGGUACUAAUUCUUCCAUAACAAAGAUACAAUCUCUGAUGGCUGAACAGCAUUCCUCUGUGCGGCACUGGCUUUCAUCAACCCCACCUUAGAGUUUCCCCAUAACAAACAAGGCGUUACUGUCAUCACAGUGCAGUCUUUGCACAGUCCCGUGCAUUGUACACAUUCCUAGGAUAAAAUGCAGUUACAUUAAUUAAUAAGCAUCAUGUACAUUCCCAGAGUAGAAUGCUGCAGCCACGAAGGCAGCACACACACAGUUCGGUUGGCUGGCUUCCUGUGGAAGUGAGGCCCUGCAUUCCCACAUUCCUGCUACCUGCAGCCACACAGCCCACAUGGCCGCACGGGCAUCAAGUCCAGAUGAGUGGACUCUGCCCGGGUCCUUUUCCUUCCACACACAGCCUUUCCCAAAAUUCUCUCAGUCAUGUGUUCCCCGUGACCACAGCAGCUCCUCAAAUGGCUCAAGCGUCACCUAUGUAGCAGUCAGGACAGACACAGAUGGGGAGAGCAGUUAUAGUCAUGGAAAUGAAGGACAGAUGAAGGACAGCCAGCCAGGGAUGUCCCAGGGUGUGCCCUCUCACCUGUGGUUCCAGGUGCGUUGGCCUUCCAGGACAUGGCCGUGUCCUGGGAGCUGGAUGGGGAGCCGGGGGGCAGCGGAGCUUGGCCACCUCGAGACCCUGUCUCUUGUGCGAGAUGAGUAGGGGGAGCUCUGGGGAAGACUCAGGUGGAGUCAAUACUCGAUGUUUUAUUUUAUUGCUUCUUUUCCAGUCACUUCACUGGCUGUUUUCAGGGUCUUUCUCUGUUUCUGUUACCUUCAAAAAGCAGCUAUUCCGUGUUGGCUGAACGACGCUUUGCCACACCAGGUUCUCUGCUUCCCCUGCAGUCCCACAGGAAUGUUUCAGGGCUAGAACUGGAGCCCAGUGUCCCCAGUGUCCCCACACACACGCACAGGGCCAGGACUCUUGCCAGCCUCCCGCGCUUGUCUCUGUCUCCUCUGCACCCACUCCAAAUGGGGUCACCGUCCAUAGCAGGGCUGUCCAUUAGACCUAUAGUGUGGGCGACACAGGUCGUGGUAAAUCUGGUGGCCAAAUAGGAAAAUGUAAAACAAACAGGUGAAAUUUUAUUUUUAGCAAGACAUCUUAU
ensembl:lncRNA